rnacentral:tRNA from 1 species
CGCGGGGUGGAGCAAUUGGCAGCUCGUCGGGCUCAUAACCCGGAGGUUGGAGGUUCGAGUCCUCCCCCCGCAACCA